AAUAGAUACCCCGGUAGUCCACGCCGUAAACGUUGGGCGCUAGGUGUGGGACCCUUCCACGGGUUCCGUGCCGGAGCUAACGCAUUAAGCGCCCCGCCUGGGGAGUACGGCCGCAAGGCUAAAACUCAAAGGAAUUGACGGGGGGCCCGCACAAGCGGCGGAGCAUGUUGCUUAAUUCGACGCAACGCGAAGAACCUUACCAAGGUUUGACAUCACCCGGAAACGUGCAGAGAUGUGCGCCUCUUCGGACUGGGUGACAGGUGGUGCAUGGCUGUCGUCAGCUCGUGUCGUGAGAUGUUGGGUUAAGUCCCGCAACGAGCGCAACCCGUUGUUCCAUGUUGCCAGCACGCUCCUUCGGGGGUGUGGGGACUCAUGGGAGACUGCCGGGGUCAACUCGGAGGAAGUGGGGAUGACGUCAAGUCAUCAUGCCCUUAUGUCUUGGGCUGCAAACGAUGCUACAAUGGCCGGUACAGAGGGCUGCUAAACCGCGAGGUGGAGCGAAUCCCUAAAAGCCGGUCUCAGUUCGGAUUGGGGUCUGCAACUCGGA
rnacentral:rRNA from 1 species